ACGGUGUCUCCCUCUGUCGCCAGGCUGGAGUACAAUGGCACAAUCUCGGCUCACUGCAAUCUCCACCUCCAGGGUUCCAGGGAUUCCCCUGCCUCAGCCUCCUGAGUAGCUAGUAGAUUGCUCCUGUGUUUCAUAGAUGGGAAAUCAUACUGAUGACUCAACCAUAUAUAGCAUUAUUUUGCUGGUUCAUGCUACCUCAGCGGAAACUGCCAAAGGUCAUCUGACAUAAUAGCUGAUGAAUUCAAGCCCAGUGGAUUUCAUUUGCAAUUUUCAAUUUACUGAGGCCUCCAAACCCCACGGUGAUAAAAGCUUCCCCUAUCGUGGCCUGUCACAAACAUCAAGAAACUGCACAAACCCACAAGAAAGAAAAAAGAGAAAGCUGUGCAUCAUCACAGCUAUAGAUAAGGAGAACAGGAAGAAAUGGUAUCAUGCAGGAAGAUGGGGAGCAGCCUGUGUGGCUAGUUCUCUAAAUGCCAAUUGAAACGAAAAGACUAUGAGGAACAAUCAAAUAACUUCCACAGAAUAACAACAUGUUUCUUUGGAGCUUUUAUGUGAAAAUUGCCUUCUAAUCUCUGACUUGACAUGCUCCCACACAAAAAUGUAAGUGUAAAUAUGCAAAUAAAUAAAUGAAUAAAUAAUCCUUGCUUACCUGGUCACUGGAAAGCACACUCUCUGUGCUGUAUUUACCACAGUUUUGCUUUACAAAAUGCAUGCUCAUAGAGGGUCUUUGAUCAUGGAAGUGUAGGCUCAGC
rnacentral:lncRNA from 10 species